rnacentral:rRNA from 1 species
AGAGCGAACGCUGGCGGCAGGCUUAACACAUGCAAGUCGAGCGGGCGUAGCAAUACGUCAGCGGCAGACGGGUGAGUAACGCGUGGGAACAUACCUUUUGGUUCGGAACAACCCAGGGAAACUUGGGCUAAUACCGGAUAAGCCCUUACGGGGAAAGAUUUAUCGCCAAAAGAUUGGCCCGCGUCUGAUUAGCUAGUUGGUGAGGUAACGGCUCACCAAGGCGACGAUCAGUAGCUGGUCUGAGAGGAUGAUCAGCCACAUUGGGACUGAGACACGGCCCAAACUCCUACGGGAGGCAGCAGUGGGGAAUCUUGGACAAUGGGCGCAAGCCUGAUCCAGCCAUGCCGCGUGAGUGAUGAAGGCCCUAGGGUUGUAAAGCUCUUUCGGCGGGGACGAUAAUGACGGUACCCGCAGAAGAAGCCCCGGCUAACUUCGUGCCAGCAGCCGC